ACGGAAGGCAGCAGUGGGGAAUCUUCCGCAAUGGGCGCAAGCCUGACGGAGCAACGCCGCGUGAAUGAAGAAGGUCUUCGGAUCGUAAAGUUCUGUUGAGAGGGACGAGAGAUAACUUCAGGAAAUGGGAGUUAGAGGACGGUACCUUUCGAGGAAGCCACGGCUAACUACGUGCCAGCAGCCGCGGUAAUACGUAGGUGGCGAGCGUUGCCCAGAAUUAUUGGGCGUAAAGGGAGCGCAGGUGGGAAAGUAAGUCAGUCUUAAAAGUGCGGGGCUCAACCCCGUGAUGGGAUUGAAACUACUUUUCUUGAGUGCAGGAGAGGAAAGCGGAAUUCCUAGUGUAGCGGUGAAAUGCGUAGAUAUUGGGAGGAACACCGGCGGCGAAGGCGGCUCACUGGACGAUAACUGACGUUGAUGCUCGAAAGCGUGGGGAGCAAACAGGAUUAGAUACCCUGGUA
rnacentral:rRNA from 1 species